GAUGAACGCUGGCGGCGUGCCUAAUACAUGCAAGUCGAGCGAACAGACGAGGAGCUUGCUCCUCUGACGUUAGCGGCGGACGGGUGAGUAACACGUGGAUAACCUACCUAUAAGACUGGGAUAACUUCGGGAAACCGGAGCUAAUACCGGAUAAUAUAUUGAACCGCAUGGUUCAAUAGUGAAAGACGGUUUUGCUGUCACUUAUAGAUGGAUCCGCGCCGCAUUAGCUAGUUGGUAAGGUAACGGCUUACCAAGGCGACGAUGCGUAGCCGACCUGAGAGGGUGAUCGGCCACACUGGAACUGAGACACGGUCCAGACUCCUACGGGAGGCAGCAGUAGGGAAUCUUCCGCAAUGGGCGAAAGCUUGACGGAGCAACGCCGCGUGAGUGAUGAAGGUCUUCGGAUCGUAAAACUCUGUUAUUAGGGAAGAACAAAUGUGUAAGUAACUAUGCACGUCUGGACGGUACCUAAUCAGAAAGCCACGGCUAACUACGU
rnacentral:rRNA from 1 species